UGAAGGGGAAGUGACGUCAUCCUGCCCGCCCACUUCGGGAGCCCACCAAGCCGAGAAUACAAGAAAUGAAGAUUCUGAAAAAGAAGCUGAUGACUAAGAUAAGGGAUAGAAAGAUGACGUGUUUGCUUGAAGCGUGAGGUUGUUUGCCUGUCUUAGGUUGACAGAUCAAGAGAUAUUUGUACAUGUUUGGGCUUCCCUGGUGGCACAGUGGUUAAGAAUCUGCCUGCCAAUGCAGGGGACACGAGUUCGAGCCCUGGUCUGGGAAGAUCCCACAUGCCGCGGAGCAACUAAGUUCGUGUGCCACAACCAGUGAGCCUGUGCUGUAGAGCCCGCAAGCCAUAACUACUGAAGCCCGUGCGCCUAGAGCCCAUGCUUUGCAACAAGAGAAGCCACCACAAUGAGACAUCCUCGCACCGCAAUGAAGAGUAGCCCCCGCUCGCCGCAACUAGAGAAAGACCAGCGCAGCAACGAAGACGCAACACAGCCAAAAAUAAAUAAGUAAAAUAAAUAAAUAAAUAAAAUUUAUUUUAAAAAGAGAUGUUUGUACAUGUUUGAAGCAUUACAUUAGGUACCUGCCAUCUUUCUUCCUUUCCAUUUUUUUCCUAAAGGGCUCUCACCCUAUUUCCUGCACAGGACCCAACAUGGCUCUCAUUUGAAUUAUGGCAAAUUGGAAGAC